rnacentral:rRNA from 1 species
GCAUAAUCAAUAGUUUUUUAAUUGGAAACUGGAAUGAAAGGUAGAAACUGAGAGGAUAGUUUUAUUAAAUGAAUUUGAAUUUAAAUUAAAAGUAAAAAUGCUUUUAUAAAAUCUUGGGACGAGAAGACCCUAGAAGCUUUAUGUCAUAGGACAUUUUGUUGGGGUAACAAUUGAAGAAAAAAAUUUUUAAUUGAAACUAAUUAUAAAAUUAAGUUACUCUAGGGUUAACAGCGUAAUUUAAUUAACAAGUUCUUAUUAAUAAUUAAGUUUGCGACCUCGAUGUUGAAUUAAAA